rnacentral:lncRNA from 1 species
GAAGGUACUAGGCACCCAUUACCCCCAUUGUAUUCAAUGGAAUUCUAGGGCUAAUGUAUGUUUCUAAGGUGUUUGUUUUAAUAUUUAUUAAUUAUUAAUUAUUUAUUUAUUUACAGAAGGUAUUACUUUUAAAUGGACGAGAGAUCCAAAAAGGUUUUUUAUAAUUAUACUCGCUAGAGUUUACAACUCUAUGCCUACGUACCUCCACACUAGGCGAGGGGUCAGAGUACCGUAGUUCUUCUUAAAAAAU